rnacentral:tRNA from 1 species
AGCUCAGUGGUAGAGCCGACCGCUCAUAACGGUCUGGUCGCUGGUUCAAUCGUGUGCGCCCGGUAAUUC